rnacentral:misc_RNA from 1 species
GAAUAAACUUGGUUGGGUUGUUGCUGGCUCUUAGGAGCAUGUGCACGCCUAGCGCCAUUUUUACCACCUGUGCACCCUUGUAGACCUGGAUACCUCUCGAGCCAUCUUUUCUUAAAAGUUGGCACGGUUUGAGGACUGCCUCCUGGCUGUCCUUACAUUUCCGGUCUAUGUCUUUUAUACACUCUACAAGUAUGUCAUAGAAUGUCUUAUUUACUGGCCGUUGUGCCUUUAAAAUCAAAUACAACUUUCAACAACGGAUCUCUUGGCUCU